GAUGAACGCUGGCGGCGUGCCUAAUACAUGCGAGUCGAGCGAACAGACGAGGAGCUUGCUCCUCUGACGUUAGCGGCGGACGGGUGAGUAACACGUGGAUAACCUACCUAUAAGACUGGGAUAACUUCGGGAAACCGGAGCUAAUACCGGAUAAUAUAUUGAACCGCAUGGUUCAAUAGUGAAAGACGGUUUUGCUGUCACUUAUAGAUGGAUCCGCGCCGCAUUAGCUAGUUGGUAAGGUAACGGCGUACCAAGGCAACGAUGCGUAGCCGACCUGAGAGGGUGAUCGGCCACACUGGAACUGAGACACGGUCCAGACUCCUACGGGAGGCAGCAGUAGGGAAUCUUCCGCAAUGGGCGAAAGCCUGACGGAGCAACGCCGCGUGAGUGAUGAAGGUCUUCGGAUCGUAAAACUCUGUUAUUAGGGAAGAACAAAUGUGUAAGUAACUAUGCACGUCUUGACGGUACCUAAUCAGAAAGCCACGGCUAACUACGUG
rnacentral:rRNA from 1 species